AAAACAUAAUGAGGAUAUUUCGUAAGCAUUGCCUUAAAUCUCUCCCAACUUUUAUAAAAGGAUUCUCCUUCAAAUUGGGCAAAAGAAGAGAUGUUAUUUCUAAGCUU